GGGGACCCGCACAAGCGUGGAUGAUGUGGAUUAAUUCGAUGCAACGCGAAGAACCUUACCUACCCUUGACAUGUCCGGAACUUGCCAGAGAUGGCUUGGUGCCCGAAAGGGAAUCGGAACACAGGUGCUGCAUGGCUGUCGUCAGCUCGUGUCGUGAGAUGUUGGGUUAAGUCCCGCAACGAGCGCAACCCUUAUCAUUAGUUGCUACGCAAGGGCACUCUAAUGAGACUGCCGGUGACAAACCGGAGGAAGGUGGGGAUGACGUCAAGUCCUCAUGGCCCUUAUGGGUAGGGCUUCACACGUCAUACAAUGGUUGGUACAGAGGGUUGCCAAGCCGCGAGGCGGAGCCAAUCCCACAAAGCCGAUCGUAGUCCGGAUUGUUCUCUGCAACUCGAGAGCAUGAAGUCGGAAUCGCUAGUAAUCGCAGGUCAGCAUACUGCGGUGAAUACGUUCCCGGGUCUU
rnacentral:rRNA from 1 species